ACGACCUUACUUGAACAGGAUCUGUUCUAUAGGUUGUACUACUGAAUCCUUAAUCCUAAGGAGACAGAGAUCAAAAUCUGGAGGAGGACACAUGACCUCUCGACCUGAGCGUGAAAGCUGCGUGGGUGCCGUCUCCUCGGGGGCGGUAGUCGAGCGGAGGAUCGUUUCGUGGCCGACUUCGGUCGACUAUGGAUGGUCUUGAGGUUGUCUGACAGACC